GACAGAGGGUGCGAACGUUGUUCGGAAUUACUGGGCGUAAAGCGCAUGUAGGCGGCAACGCAAGUCGGGCGUGAAAUCCCACGGCUCAACCGUGGAAGUGCACUCGAAACUGCGCAGCUAGAGUCCUGGAGAGGAAGGUGGAAUGCUUGGUGUAGAGGUGAAAUUCGUAGAUAUCAAGCGGAACACCGGUGGCGAAGGCGGCCUUCUGGACAGUGACUGACGCUGAGAUGCGAAAGCGUGGGGAGCAAACAGG
rnacentral:rRNA from 1 species